rnacentral:tRNA from 2 species
AAGUCAUAAAUAUAUAAUUAUUUAUAUAGAUAGUA